rnacentral:rRNA from 1 species
UACGUAGGGUGCAAGCGUUGUCCGGAAUUAUUGGGCGUAAAGAGCUCGUAGGCGGUUUGUCACGUCUGCUGUGAAAACUGGAGGCUCAACCUCCAGCCUGCAGUGGGUACGGGCAGACUAGAGUGCGGUAGGGGAGAUUGGAAUUCCUGGUGUAGCGGUGGAAUGCGCAGAUAUCAGGAGGAACACCGAUGGCGAAGGCAGAUCUCUGGGCCGUAACUGACGCUGAGGAGCGAUAGCAUGGGGAGCGAACAGG